UUCUGUUUGAGCACCUACCGGGGGUGAUCAAUUCCAUUUUUAAAUUAGCCUAUGACACUCAAAAAGAAUGUGGCUUUCUAUUUGUGAAAGAAUUUUCGAAAUAGGUUAAGUAGUUCCAGAGAUUACCCUCAACAACGGUUAGGUUAGGUUAACUAACAACUCCUCUUUAUAUAAUACCUAGUAUAGAUUUAUAUUGAUUCAAAUAAAUUAAAUAUUGUAUUUAUACGUGAUUAUAAAAAAAGUUUAUGUAUAGUGACAUAAGUAAUAUUUAAGCCCUAUAAAAUUUCGAAAACAUUUGGAAAUUCAAUAAAAAUGUUUGGUGACUAAUUUCUUAAAUAUACUUAUUGAAUAUUGAUUAACCUAAAGAGUUACUGGCAUAUACGAUGUAAAAUGUAGAUAUUCCAAAAACAAUUAGAAAUUGUCACAAUGUAGUUUAUUUUUACAGGAUUCAUUACUGGUAUCAGAGAAUAUUUAAAAGAUCUAAAAAGUCUCAAGACUACAGUGAUGACUUAUUUGGGCUGUGCAAGUGGCAUUGAAGAAAAACCGGUUACUGCCUUCUGUGCAACUAAAAUUGAUGAAGAUAACAUUUAUUUAAAGAGAAUUCUUCAAUAAUACACUAAUGUAUUUUAUCUAAUUAUUUUAUGGUAAAUAUAAAUUAAAUAGUCUAAUAAAAUAGGUGUAUUAAUUUGAUUCUAAUUAUAUUUUUAUGUUUUUGUUAACUCUCCAAAAGGAUGUGUUAAAACAUUUCGGCUAACAUAAAUUCAUUAUUUUACAGGCCCAAUAAUAUUUUUAAUUUUAAUGAUAUUAUAUCAUAAAUAUUGGUAUGGAAUUUUUAGUACAUGAUUCGCAAAAAAAAAAUACACUUAGGUAUGAUGGGGGAGAAGAAAAACUUUUUUUUCUCUUUUUGAACCUAAUAAUAAUCAUUUAUGUUCUAAGGAAAUAUACCUUUAAGUCCUAAAAUACACUAUAUAUAAUAUAAUCAACUGUAUGCAUUUUCUAUCUGCACAAUUAUAUUGUAAUGCAUUUUUCUUUUUUCCCUUUAUUAUGUAUCAUUACUAUUGCUAUUAUUAUUACUAUUUUUAAAUGUAUUUUCUUCUUCAUAUACAAUUUUAUGUAAACGUAUUGAUUAGGUACUAAUGCUGU